AUUACUUUUUUUUAAUCAUUUUCUUUCCUAUCCUUUUAUUUGAUUACUGAGUUUGGGAAAGUUCUUCCUGCAGUGCUAAAAACUGUAGUUGAGAAAGGUGAUGACUGUUAGCAAGAUUGCAGUCUCUAGAUUGGUAAAUUAUACAAGAAGAAAGGAAAGUAUUUGAAUCACGUUCCCGGAGCCUCAAAGAUGUAAUUCUUGGAGAAGAUGCUCCUCUACCCUAAGAGUUCAGCAAAGAAUGUUCACACUUCAUUAAAAUUACAAAACGAGAUUCACGAUCCACUGGAGCGGUAAGACUAAGGAAUAAGAGGAUGAAGGGAAGGAACUGGAGGACGAAGAGAAUCUUUCGAAACAAAGCAUUGGGAAACUUAGAUCACUUGAACUAUAGUGAUGCUUGUGUCUCUGUUUAAAGAAGAUCUACACGAAUAGGUAUCUGAUUGUAUCAUCACAUUAAGUAGCUGUUUAAAUGUGAAUUAUCAACUUAUGCAUAAUUUGCCAUCAUAUGAAUGUUUAGGCAGAGAGGAACUCUAGAGAAUCUGUGAUAAAAUUAUUAUUUGGCCAUUUUAUAGAGCAAAGUUGCAGGAGCUUCUAAUGGAGUUUCUCCGGCAGAUGUUCAACGUGAUUGAAAUGCUCUUUUAGUAUUCUUCUAUGGAUUUUUCCAGUGUGUUUGUGAGUGAACGAAAACGUAUGUUUAUGCAAUUCUACUCGCUUAAAUCUUGACUUCUUUACGAGGGUGUUUGAACUCAGAUGCAUGUUGUUUUAUUUUUUU